rnacentral:rRNA from 1 species
GACAGAGGCCUCAAGCGUUAGGCGGAAUCACUGGGCUUAAAGCGUGUGUAGGCGGAUCGUUAAGUGUCUUGUGAAAUCCCACGGCUCACCCGUGGAACUUCUGGGCAUACUGGCGAUCUUGGGCCAACUAGGGGCAGCCGGAACAAGCGGUGGAGCGGUGAAAUGCGUAGAUAUCGCUUGGAACGCCGAAGGUGAAAACAGGCUGCUGGGGUUGUGCCGACGCUGAGACACGAAAGCCAGGGGAGCAAACGGG